GUGUUAUGUUUUUUUAUUUAAAAAAAAGAAAAAACAUUUACGACUUAAAAACUGACUAAUCCCCAAUUUACUAAUCUACGCCUCAAAUCAUUCUGUCUCUCUAUCAACACUCUUCUCCUCCCAUCGUUUUAAUCUCAUCUCUUUCCUCAAUUGAUAUGCACACUCUAAAUCCUCCAUUGAAACGAAUUCUUAACUUUCUUUCCUCCUUUGAAGCAGCUUCUAAGAUCAAUUUUUAAACAUCAUCUGCUAUCAUUGCGAUGUUCUGCUAUUUUUGUGCACUUUCGUCAUUGUGCGUCCAAGUUCAGAAUGUCUACAAUUUACUUGAUGCUAUGUAAGAGGGCAAAUCGUUUAUGCGUUUGAACAGUGAAUCCCUUUUUUUGAUGAUUUAAAAAGAACUAAAAAAUACCGCCACAAAAGGUACUUCUGUUUUCUUUCUUUACUUGUUCAUUCCUCGUGCAUUGGUACCUCUCUUAUGUUUCACUAGCAAGCUAAACAUGACUGGUUCAUGAUUGAUAAGUGGUUUAUUUGUCCACUUAUUGUGGUAAUCCUAACCGCUUUUAUAAUCAUUUCUCCUACUUUUCUCCUCUCUCUUAACUCUCUUGUAUAUAGUUGUAUUUUGGCAUUGCUGCGUUUUUUGUGUGUUUGUGUUCAUGCUUGUAGGAAUAAGAAGAUUUGACAAGCUUGCAAAGAAAGUUGAGGAAGAUGAUAAAAAGGAGAGGAUGUUGUGAACCUCCCUAGGAGCAGCCACUCCUGCCCCAUGCACCACAAACUGCAUCAUCCACAACAAUAAGAGCGGGCUGCUGCUACUGCUGUUGUUACUGAUGUUUUGCUGCUGUUGUUUACUGCCACUGAUGUCUGUUGCUGACUCCUGCUACUGUUGUUUGCUGCCACUGCUGGUUGCUGCCACCGCUGUCUGCUACUACUGUUUGUUGCCACUGCUAGUUGCUGCCACCAGUGUCUGCUACUGCUGUUUGGUGCUAUAUACUGCUGCUCGUAGCUUAUGUUGCUACUGCUGUUGUUCUGCUAGCUAUCUGCUGUUCACCGCUAUCACCGACUAAUUUUUGAAAAUUUGAAGUUUUCUUAUUUCCUCACUCUUUCUAUGCUAGAGAUCGAAGUUGAUUUUCUUUUUGUUUGGAUUAUUAUAUUGUUGAGCCAAACAUUAAAAUAGGUGUAUGGAUUUUUUUUUUGUAAGAACUAUGAAAUUAUUUCAAUCCAAAUUGAUGUCUAUCAUAUA